rnacentral:sRNA from 1 species
GCAGAGUUGGGGAGGAAUCGACCGAUCAAUCAAUACGAUGUUGCCGCCGACGAGGAGGAGGUCGCGGGUUCUAUGGUCCCGUCGGAGCCCGCGUGUCGAGGAAGAAGACAGAUCUAGCCACCGUGUCGAUGAAGAAAAUGGAUCCAGGCUCCGUAAUAGAGAAAAUGGUGGAUCUAUCUUUGUUGCAUUUUAUUGUAUUCGAGUGUUUCAUUCUCUUGUGUUCGAAUGUUGCACAUGACACACCAUGUUUCUUCGAUGUUGCAGUCAAUUUUGUAUCUUUGUUGCAUUUUAUUGUAUUCUAGUGUUUCAUUUCUAUUGUGUUUGAAUGUUGCACAUGAC